rnacentral:tRNA from 6 species
GGGUGAUUAGCUCAGUUGGUAGAGCAGCUGACUCUUAAUCAGCGGGUCCACAGUUCGAGCCUGUGAUCACCCACCA